ensembl:lncRNA SDAD1P1 SDA1 domain containing 1 pseudogene 1
CUGCGGGCCCCGGACGUGGAGACGCUCGAGUCAGGCUGACGCGCGCGCCGGGAACGAACUCUUGCGUGUGACUUGGGAUGACCGGAUGGGAUGAGUGAUGCCAGUGGCAGUGGGAGAGAGGAUGAGGAGAAACGGAAUGAGGAAGUGCGCUCCUGUGUUCGCGCCCGUGCCUCCUCUCACACAGGCUCCACAGUGCUUCACCCAGCCCUGCGCACGCAUCUGUUUUCUACCUCUUAGGACUCACUUCUGCAAUAGGUGUCUUGGGGACACAAAGGAAUCCCCAAACCCAGGUGCCUCCACGUGUAAACUCCAAAUAAAGCUGCUGAAACAUCAACACUCCAUACGGGAAACAAGGGAAGGCCGCCCCCAAAUUUAAUUGUUACAGAAUUUUUAAAAUGUCGAUUACAAACACACCAUCAUUCUGAAAAAAAGAGAAAGAAGAAAGGGGAAGAAAGAAAAAAGAAAAAUUCAGGAAAACAGAGAGAAGAAAGUACUCACCCAAAUCCCAUCGACUAAUCGAUUUCUGGGACAUGACGUGGGAAGCCGUUUAUCCUGUACGUGGAUGACAUUAAACUAUGUUCCUGAGCACACCUCCUACUUCACAUCUCCAUGUCUUCGUCCAGUCUCCUUGAUGUUAAUGGCUAGUUACUCUUCAGAUGAACUUAAAAAUGGACUUGUCCAAGAUUGACCUUGUGUUGGUUCUCACUCUGUCACGCAGGCUGGAGUUCAGUGGCAGGAUCCCAGCUCACUGCAACCUCCACCUCCUGGGUUCAAGCGAUUCUUGUGCCUCAGCCUCCUGAGUAGCUGGGAUUACAGGUAUGUACCACCAUGCCCAGCUUUUUUGUAUUUUUAGUAAUAAAGAUGGGGUCUCACCAUGUUGGCCAGGCUGGUCUUAACUCCUGACCUCACGUGAUCCACCUACCUUGGCCUCCCCUAGUGUUGGGCUUACAGACAUGAGCCACCACGCCCAGCUGAUAUCCCCACUUAAUAUUUACUUUUCUCAUUUUAGCUAUAGUUGUACUUCUAUUACUUGAUUGUGGCAAUAGCUACUGGAUACAAAUACUAUUACCUGAUUUAUUAAGAUGAUUAAUUUUCAUAAGAAAUAAGGUAAUAUACUUGCCCUACCAAUUACUUUAUUUAUUUAGAGACAGAGUCUCGUUCUGUCGCCCAGGCUGGAGUGCAGUGGCGUUCGAGACCAGCCUGGGCAACAUGGUGAAACCCCAUCUCUACGAAAAAUACAAAAGGGUGUGGUGGUGCACAUCUGUAGUCCCAGCUACCUGGGAGGCUGAGGUGGGAGGAUCACCUGAGCUUGGGGUUUAAGGUAGCAGUGAACUGUGAUUGCACCACUGCCCUACUGCCCUCCAGUCUGGGUGAUGGAGUAAGACUGUCUCAAAAAUAAAGUAAAUAAAUAAAAAGAAAAAAGAAAAACAGAAA